rnacentral:rRNA from 1 species
GAUGAACGCUGACAGAAUGCUUGACACAUGCAAGUCAACUUGAAUUUGGGUUUUUUAUUUUGGUUUGGGUGGCGGACGGGUGAGUAACGCGUAAAGAACUUGCCUCACAGCUAGGGACAACAUUUGGAAACGAAUGCUAAUACCUAAUAUUAUGAUAAUAGGGCAUCCUAUAAUUAUGAAAGCUAUAAGCGCUGUGAGAGAGCUUUGCGUCCCUUUAGCUAGUUGGAGAGGUAACGGCUCACCAAGGCGAUGAUGGGUAGCCGGCCUGAGAGGGUGAUCGGCCACAAGGGGACUGAGACACGGCCCUUACUCCUACGGGAGGCAGCAGUGGGGAAUAUUGGACAAUGGACCGAGAGUCUGAUCCAGCAAUUCUGUGUGCACGAUGAAGUUUUUCGGAAUGUAAAGUGCUUUCAGUUGGGAAGAAAAAAAUGACGGUACCAACAGAAGAAGUGACGGCUAAAUACGUGCCAGCAGCCGCGGUAAUACGUAUGUCACGAGCGUUAUCCGGAUUUAUUGGGCGUAAAGCGCGUCUAGGUGGUUAUAUAAGUCUGAUGUGAAAAUGCAGGGCUCAACUCUGUAUUGCGUUGGAAACUGUAUAACUAGAGUACUGGAGAGGUAAGCGGAACUACAAGUGUAGAGGUGAAAUUCGUAGAUAUUUGUAGGAAUGCCGAUGGGGAAGCCAGCUUACUGGACAGAUACUGACGCUGAAGCGCGAAAGCGUGGGUAGCAAACAGG